rnacentral:rRNA from 1 species
UAAUACAGAGGGUGCGAGCGUUAAUCGGAAUUACUGGGCGUAAAGGGUGCGUAGGUGGAUAGGAAAGUUGGAUGUGAAAGCCCUGGGCUCAACCCAGGAAUUGCAUUCAAAACUCUCUGUCUAGAGUACGGUAGAGGGAAGUGGAAUUUCCGGUGUAGCGGUGAAAUGCGUAGAUAUCGGAAGGAACAUCAGUGGCGAAGGCGACUUCCUGGAUCGAUACUGACACUGAGGCACGAAAGCGUGGGGAGCAAACAGGAUUAGAUACCCUGGUAGUCCACGCCGUAAACGAUGAGAACUAGCCGUUGGGAAGUUAUUACUUCUUAGUGGCGCAGCUAACGCGAUAAGUUCUCCGCCUGGGGAGUACGGCCGCAAGGCUA